CAUGGAAAUACAGAGUGUUAUCACAUGUGGAGGGGGAGAGGGAAUGUCAGUCCCAGUAGAAGCACCCACUGAAGAGGGACAACUUAGCACUGAACACUUUAAGGAUGAUACAUCAUCUGUUUGGAAGCGAGCCAUAAGUAAAUAAAACACAUAAAGGAGUAACACAGCCCUGCAGAGCCAUGAGGGUGGAUCCAGAAGGUGGGACUCCAGUGAAUUCCAUGCCAAAAUGUUGACAGCAUCUGAUGCACGCGAGAGGGGUUCCACACCAAACAGGGAACAAGCCCUUACCUGGAGAUCCUGAGGAGAGCCUGCAGCAGCCUUGCUUCGGCUGGAGUGUGGAUGGCACUGAGAAGAUUCUCCAAACUUCUGGAGCAGGGUUGGUCUUUGUGAGCCUGCAGCAAUUGAUGUGCAAUAGUGUUUGUCACGUGAGGAAAAUGUACAGCACCACUCCUUUCACAUCUGUUUCACUUGUGAUAAUAAAAAUAAGAUUCACUAAUGGGAAAAA